CCUACGGGCGGCAGCAGUGAGGAAUAUUGGUCAAUGGUCGGGAGACUGAACCAGCCAAGCCGCGUGAGGGAGGAAGGUACAGAGUAUCGUAAACCUCUUUUGUCAGGGAACAAAGGCGGGGACGUGUCCCCGGAUGAGUGUACCUGAAGAAAAAGCAUCGGCUAACUCCGUGCCAGCAGCCGCGGUAAUACGGGGGAUGCGGGCGUUAUCCGGAUUUAUGGGGUUGAAAGGGGGCGCAGGCGGUCUGUUAAGUCGGCGGGAAAAGCCCGGGGGCCAACCCCGGCCCGCAGUUGAAACUGGAAGUAUCGAGUUGGAGAGAAGUAUGCGGAAUGCGCGGUGUAGCGGUGAAAUGCAUAGAUAUCGCGCAGAACUCCGAUUGCGAAGGCAGCAGGCCGGCUCCACACUGACGCUGAGGCACGAAAGCGUGGGUAUCGAACAGGAGUAGAUACCCCGGUAGUC
rnacentral:rRNA from 1 species